GGUUAUUGGCGCAAUAAGAUGAAUAUUGUGCUGUGUUGGCUGUCUUUCAUUUUUAGGCUGCCUGGAGUAGGUACUUGCUGAUUUGUGGUGUCGAGUCCGUUGACCCCCGUGGUUGUUGUUAGUGUAUUCUUAUUUCGAUUUAUUGUUUUCCUUUGUGGUUUUUUCCCCCUGUUCUUCGCCGUGUCUUUCCUAUUUUUUCCCCAGGUCAAGGUGUUCUCUUGGUGUGUUUCCCAUUUCAUGUUCUAGUUUGCUAAGGGUGAUCGUGUGGUGGUUGUGCGGUGUGUGGUUCUUCUGUUAUGGGUGGGAUAAAUGCGGGAGAUGGUUCGGUGCACGACGGUAGUGACGAUGUUGAAGCCUUGGUUUCGGCAAGGAAGAGAUGCCCUCUUCAAAGGCACUGUGAUUUCUUCUCUGCCAUGGGGUCCGAAGAAUAGAAUGGGGUUCAAGAUGGAUUGAAUGUGGAGGACGUGUAGGUGAAGGUCAUGAUUCAAGCAAGGCUCUGUCAGUAGUGCCCCUUGAGGAGGAAUCAAG